rnacentral:rRNA from 1 species
UCGAGCGAACAGAGCACGUGAGCUUGCUCCUCUGACGUUAGCGGCGGACGGGUGAGUAACACGUGGAUAACCUACCUAUAAGACUGGGAUAACUUCGGGAAACCGGAGCUAAUACCGGAUAAUAUAUUGAACCGCAUGGUUCAAUAGUGAAAGACGGUUUUGCUGUCACUUAUAGAUGGAUCCGCGCCGCAUUAGCUAGUUGGUAAGGUAACGGCUUACCAAGGCAACGAUGCGUAGCCGACCUGAGAGGGUGAUCGGCCACACUGGAACUGAGACACGGUCCAGACUCCUACGGGAGGCAGCAGUAGGGAAUCUUCCGCAAUGGGCGAAAGCCUGACGGAGCAACGCCGCGUGAGUGAUGAAGGUCUUCGGAUCGUAAAACUCUGUUAUUAGGGAAGAACAAAUGUGUAAGUAACUAUGCACGUCUUGACGGUACCUAAUCAGAAAGCCACGGCUAACUACGUGCCAGCAGCCGCGGUAAUACGUAGGUGGCAAGCGUUAUCCGGAAUUAUUGGGCGUAAAGCGCGCGUAGGCGGUUUUUUAAGUCUGAUGUGAAAGCCCACGGCUCAACCGUGGAGGGUCAUUGGAAACUGGAAAACUUGAGUGCAGAAGAGGAAAGUGGAAUUCCAUGUGUAGCGGUGAAAUGCGCAGAGAUAUGGAGGAACACCAGUGGCGAAGGCGACUUUCUGGUCUGUAACUGACGCUGAUGUGCGAAAGCGUGGGGAUCAAACAGGAUUAGAUACCCUGGUAGUCCACGCCGUAAACGAUGAGUGCUAAGUGUUAGGGGUUUCCGCCCCUUAGUGCUGCAGCUAACGCAUUAGCACUCCGCCUGGGGGAGUACGACCGCAAGGUUGAAACUCAAAGGAAUUGACGGGGGACCCGCACAAGCGGUGGAGCAUGUGGUUUAAUUCAAGCAACGCAGAACCUUACCAAAUCUUGACAUCCUCUGACCCCUCUAAGAUAAGUUUUCCCCUUCGGGACGAGAGGACAGGUGGGGUGGUGGUCGCC